GUGCUCGCUUCAGUAGCACAUACUACACUGAAAUUGAAACGAUGCUGAGAAGAUUAGCAUGGCCCCUGUGCAAGAAUGACACACAAAUUCGGGAAGCGUUCCAUUAAAAA